GAUGAAGAACGUAGCGAAAUGCGAUAAGUAAUGUGAAUUGCAGAAUUCAGUGAAUCAUCGAAUCUUUGAACGCACAUUGCGCCCCCUGGUAUUCCGGGGGGCAUGCCUGUUCGAGCGUCAUUUCACCACUCAAGCCUCGCUUGGUAUUGGGCAACGCGGUCCGCCGCGUGCCUCAAAUCGACCGGCUGGGUCUUCUGUCCCCUAAGCGUUGUGGAAACUUUCGCUAAAGGGUGUUCGGGAGGCUACGCCGUAAAACAACCCCAUUUCUAAGGUUGACCUCGGAUCUGGUAGGGAUACCCGCUGAACUUAAGCAUAUCAAUAAGCGGAGGA
rnacentral:misc_RNA from 1 species